GCUUGUCUCAAAGAUUAAGCCAUGCAUGUCUAAGUAUAAACGAUUUUAUACGUGAAACUGCGAAUGGCUCAUUAUAUCAGUUAUAGUUUAUUUGAUGGUCCUUACUACUUGGAUAACCGUAGUAAUUCUAGAGCUAAUACAUGCAUCAAGCCCUGACUUCGGAAGGGGUGUAUUUAUUAGAUGGAAACCAAUGCGGGGCAACCCGGAUUCUGGUGAUUCAUAAUAACUUUCGGAUCGAUCUUCGGAUCGAUGCAUCAUUCAAGUUUCUGCCCUAUCAGCUUUGGAUGGUAGGGUAUUGGCCUACCAUGGCUUUAACGGGUAACGG
rnacentral:rRNA from 1 species